ACUUUUAAAGGAAAACAGUAAUCCGA
rnacentral:tRNA from 1 species